ACACGACUACGAGUUUAUCCUGGCUCAGGACGAACGCUGGCGGUGUGCUUCACACAUGCAAGUCGAACGAGGUAGCAAUACCUAGUGGCGGACGGGUGAGUAACGCUUGGGAAUCUGCCUAUUAGUGGGGGACAACCCGGGGAAACUCGGGCUAAUACCGCAUACGCUCUACGGAGGAAAGCCGGGGACCGCAAGGCCUGGCGCUAAUAGAUGAGCCCAAGUCGGAUUAGCUAGUUGGUAGGGUAAUGGCCUACCAAGGCGACGAUCCGUAGCUGGUCUGAGAGGACGACCAGCCACACUGGGACUGAGACACGGCCCAGACUCCUACGGGAGGCAGCAGUGGGGAAUAUUGGACAAUGGGCGCAAGCCUGAUCCAGCAAUGCCGCGUGUGUGAAGAAGGCCUGCGGGUUGUAAAGCACUUUCAGUGGGAAGAACAGAUUCGGGUCAAUACCCCGGAGCCCUGACGUUACCCACAGAAGAAGCACCGGCUAACUCCGUG
rnacentral:rRNA from 1 species